rnacentral:lncRNA from 1 species
AUUAAAUUCUGAACUUCAAGCAUUUUACUAUAAUUUAUAUUUUCUUUUCAAAACUUUUUUAAUGAUCCAUGAUACGACAUAAAAUAUAUGUCUCUUAAAACGCUUAUGAUGUUGGCACUGCGCAUCCAAGUUCGCGCAGAAAGAUGUGCGCGCGCAGAAAAUGGAGACGCGUCCUGUAAAUUCCUCGAGUGGGUUGUUCGGUGUAGCACCUCGUGAUUAGAUUUCUAGUGUCAGUUUUCAAGACUCGUCACGUACAGGUUCGUGAAAACAUCGUUCUGUGCAAUGUUCGAUCUAACUAUUUAGUGAUUCUGAGAGAAAGCAAGAAAGUUCUAAAGAGAAAAAGAAUAUGAACGUAUAUACGCGAUUUGGCGCGAGUCAUAUAAUUCGCCACGUAGUGUCGUCUCGUCUAAGAUAGGUGGGGAGAUAGUGCCGUUUACCAUCUGAAAAUAUGUUGCACCACAUGACGACAUCUUAACAUUGUUUUAUAGAUACUGAGAAUGCACGCACACGAUGCUGUUCGAUGACAUUCGAACGUGGCCGUUGCGCGCGUGUAACGUGGCUGGUAUGAUAGGAGAGCAUGACGAGGAAAGAGUCGCCUAACGACCGCGUCGCUUUGCCCGCACAUAGUUGCAUGCCGCCUGCAUUCGUGUGCACGUGUGUAGCGAUACUUAAUGCGCGCGCACGUGACCUGACACUUAGUCGGCGCGUACAGUCUUUUCUUCCGAUUACACGUCAAAUUGAACCCCGGCAUUGCACACCAGGCUGUACAUACGAGUUGUCUUAAUCUUCGCGCCGAUGUCGAUGUUUCAUGAUAUAGGUUUUGACGAGUUAGAGGUUAUGUUUAACGAAGUGAAAAAAUAUGUUACGAUCGUGUUUUUUUAUUUGAUUCCUGCAAAAAAUAGAUAGCUUUUUAUAAUAUACUGAACAGAAAAAAUUUUGAAUAGAAUAUAGAUGUUUACUCGGAAUUUAUAUUAAAAUAUAUGUUAAUCGAAUAACGGAUUGAAUAAAUAUAAUCGAUAAAUUGUUUUGAUCGAUCGCGAAAAGCUUUCAAUCAUUCAAUUGGAAUCGAAAUGAUUCGCGUCGCGAUACGUUAACGAUCACGGAUGUGAUUCGACGGUAUCGAUCGAACUGGGAGACUGGGAUAAUUGACUGUAACGUUUGAUCGACGCGAUUGAAUUUUCUGAGUGGGUGAAGAGAACGGGAGAGGAGAAUGCGCAGGCAGCGAAACGGUGAGAGAAUUCUUGAGCGUGUACGAACGUCGACCUCUUAUAAAAGCUAUACGCCGUUUCCUGAUCGGGACCGUUUAAUGGAUCAAGAAGACAGCACCGUGCGACCGGACACACCGCAGAUUCGGCCUUCGUGUAGUCGUGUCACCGUUCGUAAUUGGUAAUUGCCAGGGCCACGACUUGCAAAUGGCUACUUUUGACCGCGGCCAGACAGAAUAAGAGAAAAAAGAAAAGAAAGAGGUAAUGAUGAGUCAGAACAAAGAUGAAAUAAUGAACGAAAAAUUCUAAUAUCAACUAAAAUACAUAUUUUGGAAAAAGAAUUCGGAAAGUAUAUAUGAUCAGUUCUCACUUUUAUAUAAUUCCUGAUUAUGAGAUCUGGCCUCGUUUUGGGCAAGAAAAAGCACCCGUUUUUGAUAUCUGGUGGGACCUCUGCACUGUUGCCCCCUUAUGUAAUCUGAUUUAUUCAAGAAUUUCAGAUUUAU